GACGAACGCUGGCGGCGUGCUUAACACAUGCAAGUCGAACGAAGUGGCGAACGGGUGAGUAACGCGUAAUCAACCUGCCCUUCAGAGGGGGACAACAGUUGGAAACGACUGCUAAUACCGCAUACUGAAGGAGGGGAUUGCGUCUGAUUAGCUAGUUGGAGGGGUAACGGCCCACCAAGGCGAUGAUCAGUAGCCGGUCCGGAGGGGUGGACGGCCCCAUUGGGACUGGACCACGGCCCCGACUCCUACGGGAGGCAGCAGGGGGGAAUCUUCCGCAAUGGACGAAAGUCUGACGGGGCAACGCCGCGGGAGUGAUGACGGCCUUCGGGUUGUAAAGCUCUGUUAAUCGGGACGCGGUACCGGAAUAGAAAGCCACGGCUAACUACGUGCCAGCAGCCGCGGUAAUUC
rnacentral:rRNA from 1 species